rnacentral:rRNA from 1 species
CAGAGCGAACGCUGGCGGCAGGCCUAACACAUGCAAGUCGAACGAACUCUUCGGAGUUAGUGGCGGACGGGUGAGUAACACGUGGGAACGUGCCUUUAGGUUCGGAAUAACUCAGGGAAACUUGUGCUAAUACCGAAUGUGCCCUUCGGGGGAAAGAUUUAUCGCCUUUAGAGCGGCCCGCGUCUGAUUAGCUAGUUGGUGAGGUAAAGGCUCACCAAGGCGACGAUCAGUAGCUGGUCUGAGAGGAUGAUCAGCCACAUUGGGACUGAGACACGGCCCAAACUCCUACGGGAGGCAGCAGUGGGGAAUCUUGCGCAAUGGGCGAAAGCCUGACGCAGCCAUGCCGCGUGAAUGAUGAAGGUCUUAGGAUUGUAAAAUUCUUUCAGUAGGG